AUCAUGACCUGAGCCGAAGACAGACGCUUAAUGGCUGAGCCCCCAGGUGCCCCUAAUCCCAGCCGCAGCUCCUGUGCCUGCGUUGAUUCUGUGUGGAGAAGCAGCAGCACGCAGAAGCAUGGAAACGGGACCUGGAGUCAUGAAACCCAGGUUCAAGCCUGGGUCCUCCAAUUGCCUGCCUCAAGGACCUGUGGUGUUAGCGGUAUUAGCGGCUAGCUGAGCUUGGAUUUCUGUUGGGGGCACCAUUCGCAGCCCAGGGACUGUCCGGUGUGCACAGGGCCAAAGAACAUCCGAAGAGUUCCCUGGGCCUUGGACAGGCUGAACCAACCCCUUAGCACCCACUGCCUAGGAGCUGGCUGCUGCACAAUUGUCUUUCUUCUCUGGCCUCUCUCUCUAGCAAUAGAUCCCUGUCCCCGGACAGGUUGGACACCUCUAGGAAGUGGUGAAACCAGCUGGUGGUGUAGUUGUGUAAGGACGUGCACAAAUAUCGCGGACUCACAUGUGGGACAGUUUUGUGACACAGAGGGGCCCUGUGCCUCCUCAAGCCCUCCGGUGGUGUUCUUUGGAAGCCGACUUGCAUACACCACAUGAAGUAGCAGCAACAGGGCCAGUCACAUAAGCCGAACAGCCCCAUCCCACAAGCUUCCUCCUGCUCUUGGGGGAGUGCCAGAAGGAUCCCGGGAACACAGCUGGACCAUCAUCGUCACCUCAGCGUUCCGUGGUUCUGCACUUAACUCCAUACUUCAAAGAAAAGAAUUAAGAAACACCAUUAAGGUUGGCUUAGUUCCCAGGACCAGAUGGCACAGAUUACUAAAUGCAAUUCUCUUUUCUUAAAUUCUAGAGAUGAGUCUGAGGGGGAACGGACUCGCCCAGAAGCUGUGGAAGAGCUUCAGAAGAACCUCUAUCCUAUCGCUCCUGGGCUUCCGUGCCACUUCUUCUGUCCCAGGUGCCUACUGGCAUUUUCCCAUCGUGCCCUGUGCCCUUAUCACCAUCCCAGCAGACAGUAAAAUAGUGGGGUACAGCUCUCUCCUGGGCUUUGACAAAGAAGGAGCCCAGCCCCAUAAAGGACAACCACAGCCUCUUUCCCUUGAGUGGAAUGUGCUAAAAACCAAUUUUUUAAGUAAUAUUUUUUAAUUAUAUUAUGUUAGUCACCAUACAGUACAAUUAAA